GACGAACGCUGGCGGCGUGCCUAAUACAUGCAAGUAGAACGCUGAAGGAGGAGCUUGCUCUUCUGGAUGAGUUGCGAACGGGUGAGUAACGCGUAGGUAACCUGCCUGGUAGCGGGGGAUAACUAUUGGAAACGAUAGCUAAUACCGCAUAAGAGUAGAUGUUGCAUGACAUUUACUUAAAAGGUGCAAUUGCAUCACUACCAGAUGGACCUGCGUUGUAUUAGCUAGUUGGUGGGGUAACGGCUUACCAAGGCGACGAUACAUAGCCGACCUGAGAGGGUGAUCGGCCACACUGGGACUGAGACACGCCCCAGACUCCUACGGGAGGCAGCAGUAGGGAAUCUUCGGCAAUGGACGGAAGUCUGACCGAGCAACGCCGCGUGAGUGAAGAAGGUUUUCGGAUCGUAAAGCUCUGUUGUAAGAGAAGAACGAGUGUGAGAGUGGAAAGUUCACACUGUGACGGUAUCUUACCAGAAAGGGACGGCUAACUACGUG
rnacentral:rRNA from 1 species